GAGGUUUUUAUACGACCGCAAAAAUUGAAAAUUUUUUGGUCGUAUAUUGGUAUGACGUUGGCGUCGUCGUCGUCGUCGUCGUCGUCGUCUGGCGUCGUCCGAAGACACAUUGGUUUUCGCACUCUAACUUUAGUUUAAGUGAAUGGAUCUCCAUGAAAUUUUACCAUAAGGUUCAAUACCAUAAAAGGAAGGUUGGGAUUGAUUUUGGGGGUUAUGGUACCAACAGUUAAGGAAUAAGGGGCCAAAAAGGGGCCAACAAUAAGCAUUUUUGUAACUUCCAGACAAUAACUUGUGUGUAAGUGUAUGGAUCUCUCUGACAUUGUACCACAAGGUUCCAUAUCACAAAGGGAAGGCUGUAAUUGAUUUUGGGGGUAAUUGCCUCAAAAUGUUAGGAAUUAGGGGCCAUUAAAGGGGCAAAAAACAAGCAUUUUUCUAGUUUCAUGACAAUAACUUGUGUGUAAGUGUUUGGAUAUUUCUGAAAUUGUACUACAAGGUUCCAUAUUACAAAGGGAAAGCUGGAAUUGAGUUUGGGGGUAAUUGCCCGAAACGUUUAGGAAUUGGGGGCCAAAAAGGGGCCAAAAAUAAGCAUUUUUCUAGUUUCCAGACAAUAACUUGUGUUCAAGUGUAUGGAUCUCUCUGAAAUUGUACUGCAAGGUACCAUACCACAAAGGGAAGGCUGAGAUUGAGUUUGGGGUGAUGAAUCAUAAGGGGGUUCAAAAAAUUUGGGGGGGGAUUUUUUUUUUUCUUUUUUUUUUCUUUUUUUCCUUUUUUUUUCUUUUAAAAUUUUCCAUUUUAAGUUGGUUAUUUCUGAUUUAUAUUUAAAAGCAAAUAAUAAUGAUAUGGUAGGAGAUACACACCAAACAGGAUGUGUAAAUUAUUAUAUAAUAAGUAUUGUGCAAUAGCAAGAAAUUUUCAAUUGCACAGUAUUGCACAAUAGCAAGAAAUCUUCAAUUGCACAGUAUUGCGCAAUAGCAAGAAAUCUUCAAUUGCACAGUAUUGCGCAAUAGCAAGAAAUAUCCAAUAGCACAAUAUUGCGCAAUAGCAAGAAAUUGUCAAUUGUACAGUAUUGCGCAAUAGCAAGAAAUAAUCAAUUGCACAGUAUUGUGCAAAAGAAGGUACUUCGUAUAAAUUGCUUAUUUCUUGAUCAAUUUCAAUGGGGUUUUAUUCUUGAAUUCUUGGGGUUCUUUAAUAUGCUGAAUCUAACCGUGUAUUAAGUUUUUGGAUUUUGGGCCCCGUUUUUAAAUUGGUCCACAUUGAGGUCCAAAGGGUCCAAAAUUGAACUUUGUUUGAUUUCAUCAAAAAUUGAAUUAUUGGGGUUCUUUGAUAUGCCGAAUCUAACCGUGUAUUUAGAUUCUUAAUUUUUGGUUCUGUUUUCAAAUUGGUCUACAUAAAGGUCCAAAGGGUCCAAAAUUAAACUUAGUUUGAUUUUAACAAAAAUUGAAUUUUUAGGGUUCUUUGAUAUGCUGAAUCUAAACAUGUAUUUAGAUUUUUGAUUAUGGGCCCAGUUUUCAAGUUGGUCCAAAUCGGGGUCCAAAAUUAAACUUUGUUUGAUUUCAACAAAAAUUGAAUAUAUGGGGUUCUUUGAUAUGCUGAAUCUAACCAUGUAUUUAGAUUUUUGAUUUUUGGGCCCUGUUAUCAUUUUUGUCCACAUUGAGAUCAAAAGGGUCCAAAAUUAAACUUUUGUUUGAUUUCAUCAAAAAUUGAAUUCUUGGGGUUCUUUGAUAUGCUGAAUCUAACCAUGUAUUUAGAUUUUGGAUAUUGGACCAUAAUAGGUGAAUGUCCAAUUUAAAAUUUUUAAGUUCUUAGACCACAUUCAUUCUGUGUCAGAAACCUAUGCUGUGUCAAAUAUUUAAUCACAAUCCAAAUUCAGAGCUGUAUCAAGCUUGAAUGUUGUGUCCAUACUUGCCCCAACUGUUCAGGGUUCGACCUCUGCGGUCGUAUCAAGCUGCGCCCUGCGGAGCAUUUUAUUCACAAU